CCGCCGCCGCCGCCGCCGCCGCCGCCGCCGCCAGCAGCCGGGCUAGUCCGUCCGCCGCUCCCCGCCGUGCCCGAGCCGGCCGCAUGGCGCUCCGCGGCUUCUGCAGCGUCGAUGGCUCAGACCCCUUCUGGGAGUGGAAUGUCACGUGGAACACCAGCAGCCCCGACUUCACCAAGUGCUUUCAGAACACCGUCCUCGUGUGGGUGCCUUGCUCUUACCUUUGGGCCUGCUUCCCCUUCUACUUCCUCUAUCUCUCCCGCCAUGACCGGGGCUACAUUCAGAUGACACAUCUCAACAAAGCCAAAACUGCCUUGGGAUUUUUGCUAUGGACCGUCUGCUGGGCAGACCUCUUCUACUCUUUCUGGGAAAGAAGUUUGGGCAAGCUCCUGGCCCCAGUGUUUCUGGUCAGCCCAACCCUCUUGGGCAUCACCAUGCUGCUUGCUACCUUUUUAAUUCAGAUCGAGAGAAGGAGGGGAGUUCAGUCCUCAGGAAUCAUGCUCACUUUCUGGCUUAUAGCCCUACUGUGUGCCCUGGCCAUCCUGAGAUCCAAAAUCAUGACUGCCUUAAAAGAGGAUGCCCAAGUCGACGUCUUUCGCGAUGUCACUUUCUACAUUUACUUCUCCCUCGUGCUGAUCCAGCUUGUGUUGUCCUGCUUCUCAGACCGCUCACCCCUGUUCUCCGAAACCAUCCACGAUCCCAAUCCUUGCCCAGAAUCCAGCGCCUCCUUCCUUUCCAGGAUCACCUUCUGGUGGAUCACAGGGAUGAUGGUCCAGGGCUACCGCCAACCCCUGGAGAGCACUGACCUCUGGUCCCUGAAUAAGGAGGACACGUCAGAACAAGUUGUGCCCGUUUUGGUAAAGAACUGGAAGAAGGAAUGUGCAAAGUCCAGAAAACAGCCGGUGAAGAUCGUGUACUCCUCCAAGGAUCCCGCCAAGCCGAAAGGGAGUUCCAAGGUGGAUGUGAACGAGGAGGCCGAGGCUUUGAUCAUCAAGUCCCCCCAGAAGGAUUGGAACCCGUCCCUGUUCAAGGUGUUAUACAAGACCUUUGGGCCCUACUUCCUCAUGAGCUUCUUGUUCAAGGCUGUGCACGACCUGAUGAUGUUUACCGGCCCAGAGAUCUUAAAGUUGCUCAUCAGCUUCGUGAACGACAGGAAGGCCCCAGACUGGCAGGGCUACUUCUACACGGCGCUGCUGUUCGUCAGCGCCUGCCUGCAGACCCUCGUGCUGCACCAGUACUUCCACAUCUGCUUCGUCAGCGGCAUGCGGAUCAAGACCGCCGUCAUCGGGGCUGUGUACCGGAAGGCCCUGGUGAUCACCAAUUCAGCCAGAAAAUCGUCCACCGUCGGGGAGAUCGUCAACCUCAUGUCUGUGGAUGCCCAGAGGUUCAUGGACCUGGCCACGUACAUUAACAUGAUCUGGUCAGCUCCUCUGCAAGUCAUCCUUGCCCUCUACCUCCUGUGGCUGAACCUGGGCCCCUCCGUUCUGGCUGGAGUGGCUGUGAUGAUCUUCAUGGUUCCCCUCAAUGCAGUGAUGGCCAUGAAGACCAAGACCUACCAGGUGGCCCACAUGAAGAGCAAAGACAAUCGGAUUAAGCUGAUGAAUGAAAUUCUGAAUGGGAUCAAAGUGCUAAAACUUUACGCCUGGGAGCUGGCAUUCAAAGAUAAGGUACUGGCCAUCAGGCAGGAGGAGCUGAAGGUGCUGAAGAAAUCUGCCUACCUGGCCGCCGUGGGGACCUUCACCUGGGUCUGUACACCUUUCCUGGUGGCCUUGUGCACGUUUGCCGUCUACGUGACCAUCGACAAGAACAACAUCCUGGAUGCCCAGAAGGCCUUCGUGUCCUUGGCCUUGUUCAACAUCCUUCGCUUCCCCCUGAAUAUUCUCCCCAUGGUCAUCAGCAGCAUCGUGCAGGCGAGUGUCUCCCUCAAGCGCCUCAGGAUCUUCCUCUCCCACGAGGAGCUGGAACCCGACAGCAUCCAGCGAUGGCCCAUCAAAGACGCUGGGGCCACAAACAGCAUCACUGUGAAGAAUGCCACGUUCACUUGGGCCAGGAGCGACCCUCCCACGCUGCAUGGCAUCACUUUCUCCAUUCCGGAAGGUUCCCUGGUGGCCGUGGUGGGCCAGGUGGGCUGUGGGAAGUCGUCUCUGCUCUCAGCGCUCUUGGCUGAGAUGGACAAGGUGGAGGGACACGUGGCUAUCAAGGGUUCAGUGGCCUACGUCCCCCAGCAGGCCUGGAUUCAGAAUGUUUCUCUCCGAGAAAACAUCCUUUUUGGACGCCAGCUACAGGAACGGUAUUAUAAGGCUGUGAUAGAAGCCUGUGCCCUCCUCCCAGACCUGGAAAUCCUGCCCAGUGGGGACCGGACAGAGAUUGGUGAGAAGGGCGUGAACCUGUCUGGCGGCCAGAAGCAACGCGUGAGCCUGGCCCGGGCCGUGUAUUGCGACUCCGACAUCUACCUCUUUGACGAUCCCCUCUCGGCAGUGGACGCCCACGUGGGGAAGCACAUAUUUGAAAACGUGGUUGGCCCCAAGGGGAUGCUGAAGAACAAGACGCGGAUCCUGGUCACGCACGGCAUCAGCUACCUGCCCCAGGUGGAUGUCAUCAUCGUCAUGAGUGGUGGCAAGAUCUCCGAGAUGGGCUCCUACCAGGAGCUGCUGGCCCGGGACGGGGCCUUUGCCGAGUUCCUGCGCACUUACGCCAGCGCCGAGCAGGAGCAGGGGGAGCCCGACGACGGCACCAGUGUGAUGGAUGAGGAAGGCUUAGCAGGUGUUGGCAGGCCAGGGAAGGAGAUGAAGCAGGUGGAGAACGGCAUGCUGGUAACGGACGCUGUGGGGAAGCAACUGCAGAGACAGCUCAGCAGCUCCUCCUACGGCGGGGAUGUCAGCCGGCACCACACCAGCACCGCGGAGCUGCAGAAGCCCAGGCCCGUGGAGGAGGACACCUGGAAGCUGAUGGAGGCAGACAAGGCUCAGACUGGGCAGGUCAAGCUCUCCGUGUACUGGGACUACAUGAAGGCGAUAGGACUUUUCAUCUCCUUUCUGAGCAUCUUCCUUUUCCUGUGUAACCACGUUGCUUCUCUGGCCUCUAACUAUUGGCUCAGUCUCUGGACUGAUGACCCCAUCGUCAAUGGGACCCAGGAGCACACGAAAGUCCGGCUGAGCGUCUAUGGAGCCCUGGGCAUUUCUCAAGGUAUCACAGUGUUCAGCUACUCCAUGGUGGUGUCCGUCGGGGGCAUCUUCGCCUCGCGCCGCCUGCACCUGGACCUGCUGCAUAACGUCCUCAGGUCGCCCAUGAGCUUCUUCGAGCGGACCCCCAGCGGGAACCUGGUGAACCGCUUCUCCAAGGAGCUGGACACAGUGGACUCGAUGAUCCCGCAGGUCAUCAAGAUGUUCAUGGGCUCCCUGUUCAAUGUCAUUGGCGCCUGUAUCAUCAUCCUGCUGGCCACUCCCAUGGUGGCCGUCAUCAUCCCGCCCCUGGGCCUCAUCUACUUCUUUGUCCAGAGGUUCUACGUGGCCUCCUCCCGGCAGCUGAAGCGCCUCGAGUCAGUCAGCCGCUCCCCGGUUUAUUCCCACUUCAACGAGACCUUGCUGGGGGUCAGCGUCAUCCGUGCCUUCGAGGAACAGGAGCGCUUCAUCCGCCAGAGCGACCUGAAGGUGGACGAGAACCAGAAGGCCUAUUACCCCAGCAUCGUGGCCAACAGGUGGCUGGCUGUGCGGCUGGAGUGUGUAGGCAACUGCAUUGUCCUGUUUGCCGCCCUGUUUGCAGUGAUCUCCCGGCACAGUCUCAGUGCUGGCUUGGUGGGCCUCUCGGUGUCUUACUCACUGCAGGUCACCACAUACUUGAACUGGCUUGUUCGGAUGUCGUCCGAGAUGGAGACCAACAUUGUGGCCGUGGAGAGACUCAAGGAGUAUUCAGAGACUGAGAAGGAGGCUCCCUGGCGAAUCCAGGAGAUGGCACCCCCCAGCAACUGGCCCCAGGUGGGCCGAGUGGAGUUCCGAGACUACGGCCUGCGUUACCGAGAGGACCUGGACCUGGUUCUCAAGCACAUCAACGUCACCAUCCAUGGAGGGGAGAAGGUUGGCAUCGUGGGGCGGACAGGAGCUGGGAAGUCAUCCCUGACCCUGGGCUUGUUUCGUAUCAACGAGUCUGCCGAGGGAGAGAUCAUCAUUGACGAUGUCAACAUUGCCAAGAUUGGCCUGCACGACCUCCGCUUCAAGAUCACCAUCAUCCCCCAGGACCCCGUUUUGUUUUCGGGUUCCCUCCGCAUGAACCUGGACCCAUUCAGCCAGUAUUCAGAUGAAGAGGUCUGGACGUCUCUGGAGCUGGCCCACCUGAAGGGCUUCGUGUCGGCCCUUCCCCAUAAGCUGAACCACGAGUGCGCAGAAGGCGGGGAGAACCUCAGCGUUGGGCAGCGCCAGCUUGUCUGCCUGGCCCGGGCCCUGCUGAGGAAGACGAAGAUCCUUGUGUUGGAUGAGGCCACGGCGGCUGUGGACCUGGAAACGGAUGACCUCAUUCAGUCCACCAUCCGGACGCAGUUUGAUGACUGUACCGUCCUCACCAUUGCUCACCGGCUCAACACCAUCAUGGACUACACGAGGGUGAUUGUCCUGGACAAAGGGGAGAUCCGCGAGUGUGGUCCUCCCUCCGGCCUCCUGCAACAGAGAGGUCUCUUCUACAGCAUGGCCAAAGACGCUGGCUUGGUGUGAGCCCAGAGCUGGUGCAGCUGCUCAGAACUGCAGGGCCGACAUGCCAGCAGCCAGGGAUCAGUCGGCAUCCUUGGGAACCCAAGCCUCGCGUAGACUGAAACCAAAAAAAAAAAAAGAACAACCCAAAACCAAAACACACAGAAAGCAGCCACCCUCUGGCCCCCUGCCUGGAAUUGGCUGUGAAGAAACAGGAGAGACACAGGGAUGCAGUGCCCCCAAAACACGCACAUCCUUGCCUCUGUUACCCCCACAGACGCACACAUGUUCUCACGCCCCUGGGAGGGCACAUGUGCUCUCCGUGCUCUGUGGGGAGGUUUGGGCCGCCAGACUUCCAGAGAAAUCGGUUGCAUAAAACAUGCUAGUGACCAAAUCCAGCCAACUGCCUCAGACCUCUCCAGCCGAAGUCUGCAGGUUCCAAGCUUUCGAGAAGCUCCCUUGUCCCCGGCACCUCUCUGUCCUUGCCUGGCUCUACCCAGAUGCUUGUUUCCCCAAGGCUGCAGUUUGGAGGUGAGGGGCCUGGUGAAGGUCAUUUUCACUCUCAGGCAGUGUCCUGAGGGGCAUGGACGCGCUUCUCACCAGCCAUCUGGUCUUCUGGGUGCUCAGACGUGGGAACCAGUGUCACAGCGCUGCCUCCACCGGGACUUGCUUCAUGGACCAGAGGCCGCAUGUCUCCCAGUGCUUCUCGUUGACGGGACUGGGCUGGCCUCCGGGUGACCUGGCCCUGGAGCUCCAGGCCGGGAGAGCUCUCUCAACGCCGACUUCCCCGCUUGACUGCUCACCUCGUCACCCGCUCCCGUCUUUGCCUUGCCUUCCUUCCUCCCUCUUUCUACCUGUAGCUAGAAUGGGUUUAUGCCUUCAGGUGCCCGAAAGAGAAGACCUGGUCAUGGUUAUUCAGCAUUCAAAGCCAAGAGCGCUGGUGCCUCCAGGUGUGAGCAGUUGGUACUGAAAAGAGCCCCGUUGAGUCUCCUCCUUGUUCUUAGAGUUCAGUUUCUCACCCGGGGCCUCUGGUUGGCUGUCAGGGGCGGCGGGGUGGAGAACUUGACUUACGGUUACUGAGUCUCUUCUGGGACAAGAAAAGAACCCAUUCAUGAGUGUCAGUGAUUUUCUUUUUCUUUUUUUUUUUUUUAAGUACUGCUCUAGGGAGAAAAACAGUCUCAAGACUUUAAUUUCUUGGGAGGAAGUACUGGGCCGAGGAGCAGCAUCCCAGGGAAAGGCCAGGUUGGCUCAGCAUCUGGUGGUUGGUCCCUGUGUUCCUGGAAGGAAACGGGCAAGUGGGGUCCUUUCUUCAAAGCCCUGUAGGUCCCUUGAUUGGAGACCAAAGUGAGACCCAAAAAGCAAAGAGAGGUCACGGCUGCCCCAGGAUUCAUGCUCGCUAUGUGAAUUACGUUGCUGACUUCAAGCCAGAGAAGCAUCUUUCUUCUUUUGGGUGGAAAUACAUAUUUAUUUUUUCGAAGGUUCCUGCCGUCUCUCCAGGAGUCGGGAUGGGGCACCCUCUCAUCUGCUGCUGUUCUUUCUCCUUGGCGAGCAUGUUGUUUCUAGCGGGAGCUCUUGGAAUUGGGAACCUAGAGAUUAAGAAUCAGGUGGGGUUUGGUGGGGAAUCGGUGUAGCACAGUGGACAGGGUCCUGCCCUUGUCAUCUGCAGGCUGUGUGACCCUAGGCAGGUCACUUAGUCUUCGUGCCUCAGUUGCUUCGUCUGUAAAAUGGGGCUGAUCCCUGCCUCCUGGGCUUGUUGUGAAGAUGAGCACUGAUGUGUGUGUUACGUGCAUGGCCCAGGUUGGGUUCUAAGACACAGGCGAGGCAAACAUCACACAUGGCAAGAAUUAGCCUUGGAAAUCCCUUUGUGGUGUUAGGCCAGGCUAGGCUAUGCUGCAGUAACAAAUUGGCCAUAAACUCUUGGGACAUGAAUACAAGGGUGUAUUUCUCAUAUAUUUCUUGAUGAGAAUCAGGCGCCUCUCCUUUGGUACGAUGACUGACAGAUCCAGACUGUUCUGGUUUUAUGACAUCGCCUCUCGGGGGCUGGCUUCUGGGUCACCACAGCUGGGGAAGGGAAGUUGUGGACGACUCACACCCACUGUUACGUAUCUCAAACCAGAAAUGACACAAGUCAGUUCCACUCACAGCCUGUUGGCCAGAAUUAGUCACAUGGCCCCACCAGGCCACAAAGGAGGCAGGAAAUGCAGGGACACAUAAGGAAGGAAGCCCCUUCCUGUGGUAACUGAUGUCAUUUCUCAGUUUUGGAUAGUGGGGGAGGAAGACCGGGGUGUUGGGAUCUGAGUUCGUAUUGGUGAGUCUGGACAGUGAGGAAUGCCAGGAUUUGGGGAGCACACACCCCAGGACCAUGCUCCAAGGACACAUGCAGGUGGAGCGGCCAGCGCUGGCUGCGUGUCCCCUACCCGCCCCCCGCCUCCAGGCUGCCUUGUCUGAGGAGCUGGGAGGUGAAGGUGCUCAAUGAAAAGCAGCUGCGAGGUUGUCACCCUUAGAAUGAGAAGCACUUGGAUGUGCCUUGUGGGGAGUCGACUUUAGAUGUGGGUGUGUUUCUGUCUCAGGGCCUGGCCCUGAGUAUUAAAAUCCUGGGUCAGAUGCUAAAUGAGUGUGCGAUCGGCGUGUGCCUUCCACGUCAGGAAGAGGGGCGGGUGCAGCAUUAACCCUGAAGAGAGUGAGCCAGGGUGUGGAGGGGGGUGGGAGGGGGCCUGCACACCUGCUCUUCCAGGUGAGUGCCCCAGCGCCAUGGAAGAAGGGGAGAAGCAAGCUUUGUUGUGCACCUGCUGCGUGCCAGGCCCGGGGCUCAGCGCUUUGCACAGCUCUCCUCGUGGGAAAGGAGCCCCGGGCCAGAGAGCAUCCCCAGCAACGCUUGCCUGCUCACCUCGCUGCUCUUCUUCCAACCUCAGGGUCCUCUCUCUCUUCCCAGACGUCUGCGUCACCUGCUCCUUUCCCUAUUUGACAGGGGCAGCUCUGUGCAAGCAAGGCUGUAAUCUCUUUAUUUCUUGCUGAAGGCUCAUCUCUAGAGCAGGGCAUGUGGCACGUGCUUAGUGACUGCAUUCUCCAACCUGGGACUGUGCUGUCCCUGUGCCGGGCCGGAACCCAGAGUGAAGUCACUCGGGCCCUAGAACUUGCCCUUCCGGAGUUGCAGCUUCCUUGCUGGUACAACUGGGAUCUUUGUAGCCACCUGGCCAGGUGGCUGUGAGGAUGAAGACAGCCAUGCCUUGCCCUUAGGAUGCCUUCAUAUGUGGUGAUGCCGUCCAUGCAUUCAUUUGUCUGUUCAUCCAUCCACCUAUUCAUUCCCUCCAUCCAUCCAGUCAUACAGUCAGUAUCUAUUGACCCCUCCUACGUGCUGUGUACCACGCUGGGUGCGAGGGAAAGCACAGCCAAUACAAAUGCACAGAUCUCUCGUCUCAGUUCAAGAAGGAAAGGAGCCCUUUCCUUCCCUUCUGGUGGGAUUCUAGAGUGGAAUUCAGCUCUUAUCCAUGAGCGAUGUGCUAGAGCUAAAGGAAUGUGCGAGAGGGAGUGUGGUACAGUGGUUAGGACGUGGGCGGCUCUGGCACCAGCCUUCCUGGGUUCAGAUCCCUACUUGCUUACACUCUGUCUCAGUUUUGUCACCUGUAAAAGGGGCCUAAUGAUAGUACCUUCCUCAGCACAGCAUCCUAGUAAGGUGUGGGGUGACUACUGGAAGCUAGUCACCCUCCGAUUGUGAGGAUUAACUGGGUGACAGGCAUUUAGAGCAGGGCUUUGUGUUUGCUGUGACCAGUGGGACUCGGGUGAGGUUUAAGGACUUACCGAGAGAGGCACUGACCAAGGAAGGUCUGUACACAGCUUUCCUGCCUCUUAGCUGUGCUCACUCGCCAGCCAGGCGCUGCUGGCAGGAGCCACAGCCAGAGGAUUAAUGGCCCGGGUGGCCCGCGGGCUGAUGUCCAAGGAGCCAUGGGGUGGGCCCAACAUCAGCCUUGUUAGUGGGCUCUUGCGGGCGCUGGUUCCACGGCCCACACUCUGCUUCCUGGCAAAACACCUCCCUCCAUGAAGGAGGCUCUUGUGGCCCUGGAACAACACCACGUGACCAUGCCAAGCACACAGCUGCCACCUUUGCCUGCAGUCGCUCUGCCAGGGCAUCAGCUGACUCGGCUCCAGGAGGAGACAUGAGAAGUGCUGUGUCUGGCCUCUUCCCGCGCCUCGCAGUAGGACAGACACCCACACAAGAUGACUUGGACUUUGGUGUUAGGCCCAAGGGGAGAUCCCCGCUCUGCCACUUACUAGCCAGGUGGCCUUGCCAGGUCACGUCCACUCACCGAGCCUCAGUUUUCUCAUCUGCAAGAUGGAGCAAAAUCACUAGUAAUGAUGGCAUUUUGUUGGCAUGACAGGGGGUGGGCAAGGGAUGCAGGCCCCUACCCCAUUUUGAAGGUAUCAAAAUGAACUAUG